UAUUGGGCUAUUCCAUUUAAUAUCCGUACCCCCCCUGUCGAGGAUACAUGUUUUUCAUAGUUAUACCCCUGAAGAAUUCCAAGCUCAAAAUCCUUUACCCCUGAAGAAUUCCAAGCUCAAAACACUCUACCCCUGAAGAAUUCCAAGCUCAAAACACUUUACCCCUGAAGAAUUCCAAGCUCAAAACACUGUACCCCUGAAGAAUUCCAAGCUCAAAACACCCUACCCCUGAAGAAUUCCAAACUCAAAAUCAUUUACCCCUUAAGAAUUCCAAACUCAAAACACUGUACCCCUGAAGAAUUCCAAGCUCAAAACACUGUACCCCUGAAGAAUUCCAAGCUCAAAACACUGUACCCCUGAAGAAUUCCAAGCUCAAAACACUUUACCCCUGAAGAAUUCCAAACUCUGAAAAAUUUCGAUCUCAAACCUCUUUACCCCUGAAGAAUUCCAAGCUCAAAACACUCUACCCCUGAAGAAUUCCAAACUCAAAACACCCUACCCCUGAAGAAUUCCAAACUCAAAACACUCUACCCCUGAAGAAUUCCAAACUCAAAACACCCUACCCCUGAAGAAUUCCAAACUCAAAACACCC
rnacentral:lncRNA from 1 species